rnacentral:tRNA from 1 species
GUUGAGAUGGCAGAGCCCGGCAAUUGCAAGAGGCCUAAGCCCUCUCUGCAGAGGUUCAAAUCCUCUUCUCAAUU